GAUGAACGCUGGCGGCGUGCCUAAUACAUGCAAGUCGAGCGAACAGACGAGGAGCUUGCUCCUCUGACGUUAGCGGCGGACGGGUGAGUAACACGUGGAUAACCUACCUAUAAGACUGGGAUAACUUCGGGAAACCGGAGCUAAUACCGGAUAAUAUAUUGAACCGCAUGGUUCAAUAGUGAAAGACGGUUUUGCUGGCGGUUAUAGAUGGAUCCGCGCCGCAUUAGCUAGUUGGUAAGGUAACGGCUUACCAAGGCAAUGAUGCGUAGCCGGCCUGAGAGGGGGACCGGCCACAGGGGGACUGAGAUACGGCCCAGACUCCUACGGGAGGCAGCAGUGGGGAAUAGUGCACAAUGGGCGGAAGCCUGAUGCAGCAACGCAGCGUGCGGGAUGACGGCCUUCGGGUUGUAAACCGAUUUCGCAUGUGACGAAGCGUGAGUGACGGUAAUGGGUAAAGAAGCACCGGCUAACUACGUG
rnacentral:rRNA from 1 species